ACACAAUGGCACAUAAUGACAAACCGAAAACAGGUUUUUCAAAAUGUUGGCAAAUUUAUUAAAAAUAAAAAACAGAAACCUAAUUUACAUAAGUAUUCAGACCUUUUGCUAUAAGACUUGAAAUUGAGCUCAGGUGCAUCCUGUUUCCAUUGAUUAUCCUUGAGAUGUUUCUACAACCUGGAGUCCACCUGUGGUAAAUUCAAUUGAUUGGACAUGAUUUGGAAAGGCACACAACUGUCUAUAUAAGGUUCCACAGUUGACAGUGCAUGUUAGAUUAAAAACCAAGCCAUGAGGUGGAAGGAAUUGUCUGUAGUGUUCCAAGAUUAGCGCUGAUAUCACAUCAAGAUGGCACCAAUGGAGAUGUCAGCUUUGAUUCUAGUCCUAAGGAAACAGUGCAGUAUUUUGAUUUUUAUGUAUUAUUUCUUGCAUUGUUAGCCCAGAAAACCGUAAGUGUUAUUACAUGCAUACAUUUCACGGAAACAUGGCUAGCUGGUGACAUGCUGUCGGAGUCAGUACAGCCAAUGGGGUUUUCAGUGCAGGAAUAAACAUCUCUCCGGUAAGAAGAAGAGCGGGGAUGUAUGUUUCAUGAUUAAUGACUCAUGGUGUAAUUGUAACAACAUACAGGAAUUCAUGUCCUUUUGUUCACCUAACCUAGAAUUCCUCACAAUAAAAUGCAGACCGUAUUAUCUUCCAAUAGAACUGUCCUCCGUUAUCGUCACAGCCGUGUAUAUCUCCCCGCAAGUGAUACCAAGACGGCCAUCAAGGAACUUCACUGGACUUUAUGCAACCUGGAAACCAUAUAUCCUGAGGCUGCAAAACUGAAAGCUAAUAGCAUUUAAUAAUGGCAAGGCAACUCGGGAAUAUGGCCUAAUGCAAACACUGUAGUUAUUCCCUCCGUACGGCAAUCAAACAAGCAAAGCAUUAGUAUAGAAACAAAGUGGAAUCCCAAUUCAACAUCUUAAACACGAGGCGUAUGUGGCAGGUUCUACAGACCAUCACAGAUUACAAAAAGAAAACCAGUCACAUCGUGGACAUCAACAACUUCUUUGUGCCACCAACGCGAACCGCUACCAAAGACUGUGGGCUCUCCUCCUCAGUGGCCGACAUCAGUAAAACAUUUAAACGUGUUAACCCUCGCAAGGUUGCCGACCCAGACGGCAGCCGCGUUCUCAGAGCAUGUGCAACUAGCUGGCUGGUGUGUUUACGGACAUAUUCAAUUAAUCCCUAUCCCAGUCUGCUGUCCCCACAUGCUUCAAGAUGGCCACCAUUGUUCCUGUUCCCAAGAAAGACAAGGUCCACAGACUGCCCCAAUAGGACCACGCUCUGUGCAACUGGGUCCUGGACUUCCUGACGGGCCGCCCCUAGGUGGUGAAGGUGCACAAUUGAGAGCAUACUGUCGGGCUGUAUCACCGCCUGGUACGGCAACGGCACUGCCCACAACCACAGGGCUCUCCUGAGGGUGGUGCAGUCUGCACAACUCAUCACCGAGGGCAAACUACCUGUCCUCCAGGACAUCUACAAUACCUGAUGUCACAGGAAGUCAAAAUGAUCAUCAAAGGUAAUAAC